GGGGACACUGAGGCAGGGCACACAGAGGUUUGGGGACACUGAGGCAGGGGACACAGAGGUUUGGGGACACUGCUCCAGGGUACAGGUGCCAUGUUUUGGGGUGCCACGCUGCUCAGGCAGCCCUGACGUGUCCCCCCGUGUCCCC